rnacentral:miRNA from 1 species
GGCGACCCAUACUUGGUUUCU